UCAAAAACUUGUCUCAGUUCGGAUUGUAGGCUGAAACUCGCCUACAUGAAGCUGGAGUUGCUAGUAAUCGCGAAUCAGCAUGUCGCGGUGAAUACGUUCCCGGGCCUUGUACACACCGCCCGUCACACCAUGAGAGUUGGCAAUACCCAACGUACGUGACCUAACCGCAAGGAGGGCGCGGCCGAAGGUGGGUUCGAUAAUUGGGGUGAAGUCGUAACAAGGUAUC
rnacentral:rRNA from 1 species